GUAGGGUGCGAGCGUUAAUCGGAAUUACUGGGCGUAAAGCGUGCGCAGGCGGUUAUAUAAGACAGUUGUGAAAUCCCCGGGCUCAACCUGGGAAUUGCAUCUGUGACUGUAUAGCUAGAGUACGGUAGAGGGGGAUGGAAUUCCGCGUGUAGCAGUGAAAUGCGUAGAUAUGCGGAGGAACACCGAUGGCGAAGGCAAUCCCCUGGACCUGUACUGACGCUCAUGCACGAAAGCGUGGGGAGCAAAC
rnacentral:rRNA from 1 species